CCGUUGACCUCGCCGUUAUCAUUUAUCGGGUUGCGUUGCUUUCGCGGCGAGGGAGGUACAGUACCACUUCAAGGAGAGAAUUUUGGAACAGAAACUUCCGAAAACUACUCAUGCCGGGAGAAUUAAAAUUAGUUUAUGCAGGAAAACAAAAUUCUUAAAUUGAAUUUUAAUAACGAUGUAAAUAAAUAAAUAAAAACCCUACCAAGAAAUAGUGGAAUCUAUAAACUUGUUGAAUAAGAAUUUGUGAAGAAAAAGGAGAUGUGCAUUAUCGACACCCACAAAAUUCACAGGAGAUGAGUGCGCAUCAUCACAAAAAUCAUGUGGGUUGAAUGCACAGAUGAAAUUUACACAAAAACAA